UACGUAGGGGGCAAGCGUUGUCCGGAAUCAUUGGGCGUAAAGAGCGUGUAGGCGGCCAGGUAGGUGGGUUGUGAAAACUGGAGGCUCAACCUUCAGAGGUCGACCCAAACCCCCUGGCUGGAGUCCGGAAGAGGAGAGUGGAAUUCCUGGUGUAGCGGUGAAAUGCGCAGAUAUCAGGAAGAACACCCGUGGCGAAGGCGGCUCUCUGGGACGGUACUGACGCUGAGACGCGAAAGCGUGGGGAGCGAACAGG
rnacentral:rRNA from 1 species